AUCGAACGCUGGCGGCAGGCUUAACACAUGCAAGUCGAGCGGGCGCUGGCGGGUGGCAGCGGCGGACGGGGGCGUAACGCGGGGGAACGUGCCCUCUGGUUCGGGGUAACGCGGGAAAACGUGAGCUAAUACGGGAUACUACCGUUUGGGGAAAGGCUGGCUGCGUGAGGAUCGGUCCGCGUCUGAUUUGCUAGAUGGUGAUAGAACGGCUCAUCAAGGCGACGAGCAGUAGCUGGGCUGAGAGGAUGAUCAGCCACACUGGGACUGAGACACGGCCGAGAAUACUACGCGAGGCAGGAGUGCGGAAUACUGGAAAAUCGGCGCAAGCCAGAUCGACCCCUGCCGGGUGAGUGAUGAAGGCCUUAGGGUUGUACAGCUAUUUUAUCCGGGACGAUAAUGACGGUACCGGCAGAAUAAGCCCCGGCUAACUUCGUG
rnacentral:rRNA from 1 species